GUAAUCGUAACUCAAGUUUAUUAUGUAGUAGAUACAGAAGCUCAUACUAGCAUAUACUUGUGCUGGUAUAUUACCAUCACAGUACUGCCAUAUUUUGAUCGGCAUUACUUGGUACAGUUGGGAAGAUGUACACAACUACAGGAAGCUUCUCACCAUCCCCAUAUCCAUUCAACUCUGUUAUUGUAUAUGCUUAAUAAUUUAGAAUAAUAUAAUUUUUGUAUUUACUA